rnacentral:piRNA from 1 species
CGAAAUAGUUCCGAAGUUGCAG